rnacentral:rRNA from 1 species
UGCUUGCACCUGAUGGCGAGUGGCGAACGGGUGAGUAAUGCAUCGGAACGUGCCCAGUCGUGGGGGAUAACGCAGCGAAAGUUGUGCUAAUACCGCAUACGAUCUAUGGAUGAAAGCGGGGGACCUUCGGGCCUCGCGCGAUUGGAGCGGCCGAUGUUAGAUUAGGUAGUUGGUGGGGUAAAGGCUCACCAAGCCAACGAUCUAUAGCUGGUCUGAGAGGACGACCAGCCACACUGGAACUGAGACACGGUCCAGACUCCUACGGGAGGCAGCAGUGGGGAAUUUUGGACAAUGGGCGAAAGCCUGAUCCAGCAAUACCGCGUGCAGGAAGAAGGCCCUCGGGUUGUAAACUGCUUUUGUACGGAACGAAACGGCGCGCUCUAAUAAAGUGCGCUAAUGACGGUACCGUAAGAAUAAGCACCGGCUAACUACGUGCCAGCAGCCGCGGUAAUACGUAGGGUGCAAGCGUUAAUCGGAAUUACUGGGCGUAAAGCGUGCGCAGGCGGUUUUGUAAGACAGGCGUGAAAUCCCCGGGCUCAACCUGGGAAUUGCGCUUGUGACUGCAAGGCUAGAGUACGGUAGAGGGGGGUAGAAUUCCGCGUGUAGCAGUGAAAUGCGUAGAUAUGCGGAGGAACACCGAUGGCGAAGGCAGCCCCCUGGACCUGUACUGACGCUCAUGCACGAAAGCGUGGGGAGCAAACAGGAUUAGAUACCCUGGUAGUCCACGCCCUAAACGAUGUCAACUGGUUGUUGGGAAUUUACUUUCUCAGUAACGAA